rnacentral:rRNA from 1 species
CCUACGGGGGGCAGCAGUGAGGAAUAUUGGUCAAUGGACGAGAGUCUGAACCAGCCAAGUAGCGUGAAGGAUGACUGCCCUAUGGGUUGUAAACUUCUUUUAUAUGGGAAUAAAAUGUUCCACGUGUGGGAUUUUGUAUGUACCAUAUGAAUAAGGAUCGGCUAACUCCGUGCCAGCAGCCGCGGUAAUACGGAGGAUCCGAGCGUUAUCCGGAUUUAUUGGGUUUAAAGGGAGCGUAGGUGGAUUGUUAAGUCAGUUGUGAAAGUUUGCGGCUCAACCGUAAAAUUGCAGUUGAAACUGGCAGUCUAGAGUACAGUAGAGGUGGGCGGAAUUCGUGGUGUAGCGGUGAAAUGCUUAGAUAUGACGAAGAACUCCGAUGGCGAAGGCAGCUCACUGGACUGCAACUGACACUGAGGCUCGAAAGUGUGGGUAUCAAACAGGAUUAGAUACCCGAGUAGUC